rnacentral:rRNA from 1 species
UCCAGACUCCUACGGGAGGCAGCAGUGGGGAAUAUUGGGCAAUGGCGGAAACUCUUACCCAGCAAUGCCGCGUGAAUGAAGAAGGUCUUCGGAUUGUAAAGUUCUUUAAUUGGGGACGAAAAAAAUGACGGUACCCAAGGAAUAAGCCCCGGCUAACUACGUGCCAGCAGCCGCGGUAAUACGUAGGGGGCGAGCGUUAUCCGGAUUCACUGGGUGUAAAGGGAGCGUAGACGGCCAAGCAAGCCAGGGGUGAAAGCCCGGGGCCCAACCCCGGGACUGCCCUUGGAACUGCAUGGCUGGAGUGCGGGAGGGGCAGGCGGAAUUCCUGGUGUAGCGGUGAAAUGCGUAGAUAUCAGGAGGAACACCGGCGGCGAAGGCGGCCUGCUGGACCGCGACUGACGUUGAGGCUCGAAAGCGUGGGGAGCGAACAGGAUUAGAUACCCGAGUAG